UACAGCGGCGCACGGGUGAGUAACACGUGGACAAUCUACCUCGAAGUGGGGGAUAACUUCGCGAAAGUGGGGCUAAUACCGCAUAAUCUUCUUUUGCCGAGGUGAAAGGAGGAAAGGUUUACCGCUUUGAGAUGAGUCUGCGGCCCAUCAGCUAGUUGGUAGGGUAACGGCCUACCAAGGCGACGACGGGUAGCUGGCCUGAGAGGGUAACCAGCCACACUGGAACUGGAACACGGUCCAGACUCCUACGGGAGGCAGCAGUGGGGAAUCUUGCGCAAUGGGGGAAACCCUGACGCAGCGACGCCGCGUGGGUGAAGAAGGCCUUCGGGUUGUAAAGCCCUGUCGCAGAGGAAGAAAAGGCAACUUGACGGUACUCUGUGAGAAAGCACAGGCUAACUCCGUGCCAGCAGCCGCGGUAAUACGGAGGAUGCAGGCGUUAUCCGGAUUUAUUAGGUUUAAAGGGUGUUCAGGCUGCCUGGUAAGUCAGGGGUGAAAGUCGGUUGCUCAACGAUCGAAUUGCCUUUGAAACUGUCAGGCUCGAGUAUGGAUGCGGUAGGCGGAAUGUGUAGUGUAGCGGUGAAAUGCAUAGAUAUUACACAGAACACCGAUUGCGAAGGCAGCUUACCAAACCAGCACUGACGCUGAAGCACGAAAGCGUGGGGAGCGAACAGGAUUAGAUACCCUGGUAGUCCACGCCGUAAACUUUGCUCACUCGCUGUUGGCGAUAGACAGUCAGCGGCCAAGGGAAACCGAUAAGUGAGCCACCUGGGGAGUACGGCCGCAAGGUUGAAACUCAAAGGAAUUGACGGGGGCCCGCACAAGCGGUGGAACAUGUGGUUUAAUUCGAUGAUACGCGAGGAACCUUACCUGGGCUUAAAUGUGAAGUGCAUUGAUUGGAAACAAUCAUUUCCUUCGGGACCCUUUACAAGGUGCUGCAUGGUUGUCGUCAGCUCGUGCCGUGAGGUGUCGGGUUAAGUCCCAUAACGAGCGCAACCCCUAUUGUUAGUUACCAGCGCGUGAUGGCGGGGACUCUAGCGAAACUGCCGGUGUAAACCGCGAGGAAGGUGGGGAUGACGUCAAAUCAGCACGGCCCUUAUGUCCAGGGCUACACACGUGUUACAAUGGCCGGUACAGCGGGCAGCUAGGCAGCGAUGUCAUGCUAAUCCCGAAAGCCGGUCCCAGUUCGGAUUGGAGUCUGCAACCCGACUCCAUGAAGGUGGAAUCGCUAGUAAUCGCGCAUCAGCCAUGGCGCGGUGAAUACGUUCCCGGGCCUUGUACACACCGCCCGUCAAGCCAUGGAAGUCUGGGGUGCCUGAAGGCCGUAACCGCAAGGAGCGGUCUAG
rnacentral:rRNA from 1 species